CUCUGCCGGGAAGCCUCUUUCCCUAGAUACUGACACUGCUUUUCACUCACUCCAUCCAAGCCCCGCCCAGAUUCACCUUCCCAGAGGUCUUCCCUGGACACCCCAUCCAAACCACACCCUCUUUUCUUCUCUUUCUAUCCUCCUCUCAGUUGCUUUAUUUUUCUCUGUGAUAAUCCUCACUCUCUGACUUUACAUCUACUGUAUAUCUAUAUCUAUACACACACACGCGCGCAUUUGUUUAUUGCUUUUUCCCCCUACUAGAAUGUCAGCUCCCUGCUAUAUUUCCAGGUCCUAGAACAAUACCUGGCUCACAGCAUCUUAGUAAAAUGUUCGUGGGACAAGUGACUAAAGCAGAUAUGGUUUUGAAUCCAGGCCUGGCUAUGUAUUGGUUGUAUUAUGUUGGAAAAUUACUUAAUCUUCCUAACCUGACUUUGCUCAUUUGUAAACUAAGUUGAUUAUACAUUUCUCAAUAGACUGUGGUAAGGAUACAGCACACGCAAGCCUGCCUGUGCCUAGUGCAUAGUCAGUGCCCAAUAAAGGCUGUGAUUUCAGCUUGGUUUAUAUUUUAAAUAAUUUGCUCUUUGUUAGCUACAGAUCUGAAGAGAUUUCCAGCCCAAAUCCUGUUCUGUACUUUUUCUUGAGCCAGGAGUGUAGGGUGGUGGUGAAUCACUGAUUCACAAGUGUGAUGGAAAUAUGUUUUAGUGAGAUGCAUAAAGAACAAAAAAAAAAAUCACAAACGUUUGACUUUUCUUAAGAAUAACAUACUAUCUAUCUUUUCCUUGUGGGAGAGAUGUUAUGACCUUCCGUAUUAUUUCAGUUUAUGGAAAAAACAUGUGAGUGUGUGUAUGAAUUGUAAACUCACCUCCGAUCAGCCUCUGAGGGAUGCUGGAUCUAUGAUACACUUUGUCCUUCUGAGAACAAAACUCUUCCCAGGUAAAUGCGCUUGGAACAUACAUUUAUUUCUGUCUUAACCUGAUUUUUGAUCGUGUUGGAGGAUGAUGACAGUUGGGAAGUAUAAAAGGAAGAAAUCUAAGAAUAGAAAGAACUAGAUCAAUCUUAGUGUACUUCUGGAGAGACAGACAAUGCUUGAAAUUGUGGUUGUAGAGACCUAGUUUGUUAAUUUAAACCAUCAUUUGUCUAUUUUUUAGAAAAGACUCACGAAGAAAUUCUAACGGGGAAAAGAUUAAGAGAAAGAACUGAAAAUUGAAUUCUGUUCUACAAUAAAAGUGUAGCUGCCAGGCUCAUCCUUAGAGCCCGCAGAAAAUAAAGAGGUGCCAUGGAUCCGGCACCAAUGGUUCUUUCUGACAGAGGCCUUUGGCCUUCCAAGCCCCUCACUCUGCUGGCCUAUUGGAGAAUGUGUGCUGAUUCCCAGAAGAGCCUCAUGCCCUUUCUGCCUCCUGCCCAGGUCCUGGAAGUUUUCAGAGAAAAGGGUGCCAUUAUCCAAGUCUAAUAAUUUUCUAUUUUAAAUGCUGAAUUUUAUUAUCGGGUAAUCAUCAUUGUGGAAAGGCAAAGCCAUUCACUAAUAGGAAGCAUACUAUAAAUUCAUAGAUGACAUUUGCUCAUGUUUUCCUGUAUGAGAUCUGGAAGCCAAGUGUUUAAGCAUGCACCCACUCCCCCACAACUUUUUUUUUUUUUCAGAUGGAAUCUCGCUCUGUCAACAGGCUGGAGUGCAGUGGCGUGAUCUCAGCUCACUGCAACCUCCGAGUCCCGGGUUCAAGCGAUUCUCCUGCCUCAGCCUCCCGAGUAGCUGGGACUACAGGCAUGCGCCAGCACACCUGGCUAAUUUUUGUAGUUUUAGUAGAGAUGGGGUUUCACCAUGUUGGCCAGGAUGGUCUCGAUCUCUUGACCUCAUGAUCCGCCAGCCUUGGCCUCCCAAAGUGCUGGGAUUACAGGCCUGAGCCACCGUGCCUGGCCGCACCCACCACUUUUUAACAUCAUACAAGAUUAAGCUGAAAAAUAGGUGAUUACUAAAUUUGAUAUUCUGGAGAUGUGAUGGUCAUGGAAGAUCUUUUGGCAUAAUCCCUCCACCUGUUGCCUUGGGUUUGGUCCUUCUUAUUUCCUGUCUAGGUAAUUGAAGUGGCCUGCACUUGGACUUCCUUCUCAAUAGCCCUUCAUCUGCUCUCACAUUGUUGCCAGAGUGCUCUUCUCAAAACACAAGUUUGAUCAAGUAAUGUUUCAUUUAAAAUUCUGGGCUGGGUGUGGUGGCACAAUGCCUGUAGUCCUAGCUACUCGGGAGGGUGAGGUGGGAGGAUCGCUUGAGCCUGGGAGUUUGAGGUUGCAGUAAGCUGAGAUUGCACCAUUGCCCUUCUGCUUGGGCAACAGAGGGAGACUCUGCCUCAAAAAAAAAAAAAAAAGAACAAAACAAGAAAAUUCUUCAUUGCCUCCUCAUUGCCAUCAGUCUAAAGUCCAGAUUUCUUAACUAGGUGCCUAAUGAAGACUGGUCUUGAAAAAAUUGUUUGAACUUGCAAAAUAUUGUCAUUGGAAGAGUUACAAGCAGGGUUUUUGUUUGUUUGUUUGUUUGUUUUUGCCUUCUAUGAAUAGAGACUGGAAUUUAUUUUUGUUCAGACUAUGUUCAGAAAGAGACCAUUCUGCUAGUCACCUUUGGUUAUGCAGAAGUAGUAGGAGGAUUUAAAUAUUAUUCUUGUGGCUGGCUGAAAUUGACAAGGGUCCCAGUGAAAAUGCUCAAAAUGGGAUGCUAAAUACCCUCUUUAAUAAUGCAAUACUUAUAACUAAAAUUUGUUGAGCCAGAUUCUAUGUGCCAGGUACUCUUGUAAGCUUUUUAUUUGUAUUAAUGUAAUGGCUGAUAGUAAUUCUGUUACAAUCCCUUGCUAUUGAUGAAAUGGAGACACAGAGGGGUUCAAUAGUAUGCCCAAGGACACACAGAUAAGUAACCAGUAGAAUUCAGAUUGGAAUCCAACACGUCUAGCUCCAGAGUCCUCACUCUCAAGCACUGUGUGAUAGAGCCUCCAUUGCAUAAGCAGGGCUAAGCCCUACAGAAUUAGAAACAUCCUUCCCACCUACCAAAUCUGGAUGUCUCAUGGCUUCUUUUACUAAGCAUUUGCAUGUGGGGUGUGGAAUUUGAAGCUAGAGCAUGGCUAGAGGAAUGUGCUGCCUUAGUCUCUUCAACUCACUCUGGAGGAAGAACUGAAAAAGUACAGUGCAGUGGGGACUAGGAUAUUGGUGUCCUACAUUGGUAUUACAUAAGGAUGAAUAACUCAGAUAUUGAGGAGUAUCCUGUAAAUAGUAUGUUUGUCUUAUUUGAUUCAUCUUAUUUCAUAUUCUUUUAAAUUAAAAAAAUUAAAUUUAUUUGUAUUGGUUUUUUUAAGACAUGGGAUCUUGCUGUGUUGCCCAGGCUGGGGUGCAGUGGCUAGUCACAGGUGCAGUCAUAGCACACUAUAGCCCAUAACUCCUGGGCUCUAGUGAUCCUCCCUCCUCAGCCUCCCAAGUAGCUGGGACUGUAGCUGUGCCACCAUGCCCAACUAGUUUUACUAGUUUUGAGAGCAAACAAUGGGAUAUUAUUUGUAGGGGCUGACUAUUCCCACUGUCAAUCAUUUUGGAGAAGGAAAUUCAAAAAUAGGCAUUUAAAUCAGUAGAGAAAGUUUUUAUUUGGGCGGGGGGGGUGCUGUCAGAGUUGGACCUAAACAAAUACAUGGCCAUUUAGGGGGCAUCCCUUUGGUGGAGGUUGAACCAGCCUGCUGAGAGCUUGGUUGGGAUUAAAGGAUUGGGUUGGGCCAUUGGGCUCCAAGGUCAAUUCUUUCUAUUAGCUGUUGUAAAUAAAUCUGUUAAUUUGUCCUUAACCUUCCAAUCUUCUGUAAAGUUUUGUUAAAGGUCAUGGUUAGGUAUGAUGACUCAUCUCAAGGCCAGAGAAGAGAUGGCAAAGGCCCCAUCUAUCUAUCUUCCUCUUUCCAAUUGCUCCUCUCCACAUAGAAGCAAUUGGAUUCCCACCCAGCACAGUGCAUUCUUUCAGGUCUCCAUGCUUUGUCGCACUCUGGACUUGGAGGGCCUGUUGUUGACCUCCCAAUCCACUUUGUUUUCAGUUAUACUUUGCUGCCUGCAGCUGGGGCUUACACAUUACUAAGGAUUUUCUUCAUGGCAAUGUUUGUUACAAUGGAAACUAAUCAUCCAAAGAGAUCCUGUUUUCAAAUCCUCUUUCCACAUCAACAGUACUUGAGGAUGUACAUCUAAUCAAGUGAUUUCAGAAGAAUAUUUAGGUUAACCUGCUGGCAGCUCAUGCCCAGGGUCUUUGGUGAUGUGACCCUUGUUCUUUGUACAUUUUUGGUCAACAUCUAUUGAUUGAGUGUAUAUCAUGUAUCAGGUAUGGUUUAGGUGCUGGGUCUACAACUGUGAACAAGACACUGAAAUCCUGGCCCUCACAAAGAGUGAAUGCUAUUGGGAGAAAUAGACAAUAAAUAAGAAAAAUAAAUAGAAAUAUACCACACUAACAAGCAAGGCAGUUUUGUACACUUAGGCAGGUUGUGCAUUGCACAAGUGUACCACAAUCUGGAGGGGGGGGCCGUGACAGUGUUGACAUCAGAGUUUUGUGAACUAUUUAUUUCUACAGUGUUCUUGCAGGUGUUCUUGGGGAAGAUCAUCUUUUUCUAAUUUGCACAAAGCUGCUGUAUGAGUUAAUGGUAGGCCUAUUAGUAACGAGUGAGCCUAUUAGGAAUCUGUUGCCAACAUUCAGGUAAGAAAUGAUGGUAGCUUGGUUUAGGAAGUGGCAGUGGAAGUCGAGGAAAGUCUGUGUUUAAAUUCUGUAUAUAUUUUGAAAAUAGAGCUGGAAGGAUUUGCUACUGACUGGAUGUGGCAUUUAAGAGAAAAAUUAGAAUUAAGAUUGCUACCAAAGUUUUUGGCCUAAGCAACUAGAAGCAUCGAGUUGUCCUUAACUGAGGUAGGGAGGAUUUCAGGAGGAGUUGGUUUGGGGGUCAAAGAUCAGCAGCUAUAUUUUGGACGUGUUAAGGUUGAGAUGUCUAUUAAACAUUCAUGUGGAGCUGUCACAUAGGCAGCUGGAUAUAUGAGUCUACAGGGGAGAAACAUGUCCAGACUGAAGAUAUAAAUUAUAUUACUUUAGGAGAGCUACCAUAAGCCAUAAUUUGUCCUUUAAUGGAUGACAAUGUUGGCAAAUACAUAAUUUUUAUCCAAUAUUUGUAAUAAGUUCUUCCCUAUUAUAUACUUUUCUAUCUUGUAAUACAAACUGAAUAAAUAAAUUUGUUUUAGCUUGUCAUUCUGCCUUGGAAAAGUUUGAAAAAUACUUUGAACACAUCAUUCCUGAAAUAAUUUGCUCUUAUAAAAUUAUAAAAUUAAGACUAAGACAAGUCUUUAAAAAUUUAGUUUUAGAGAAAAGAGUAAAUAGACCUCUCUCUAGCCAUUGAAUUUUUACGUAGGGAACUUGAAUGUGACUGUAUAUGAUAACUCACUGGAAUUAUUUUAUGUGGCAAGAAUGAGAUUUACUGUAAAUAGUAUAUAAUAUCAUCAAUUACUAUAUGAAUCUCUCAAACACUGAUUAUAGUGUAGCAGGAAGAGCCACAGACAAAAUCCCUCAGACACCAAGUUAAAGAAGGAAGGGCUUUAUUCGGCCAGAAGCGUCGGCAAGACUCACGUCUCAAAAACCGAGCUCCCCUAGUGAACAAUUCCUGUCCCUUUUAAGGGCUUACAACUUUCAGGAGAACUAUGUGAGAGGGUCAUGAUCAAUUGAGCAAGCACGGGUUAUGUGACUUGCGACUGGGUGCACUGGUAAUGAGAAUGGAAGAGAACAGGACGGGGAUUUUCACGAUGCUUUUCCAUACAAUGUCUGAAAUCUGUAGAUAACACAAGCAGUUAGGUCAGGGGUUGAUUUUUAACUACCAGCCCUGGGGAGCAGUGCUGGGCUAUCUGCCUGUGGAUUCCAUUUCUGCCUUUUAGUUCUUCUUUUUUUGGAGACAGAAAUUGGGCAUAAGACAAUAUGAGGGGUUGUCUCCUCCCUUAAUAGGAGUUUUCAAAAUUGGCAAAACAAAACUUUAUAAAGCAAAAUAGGAAUGUUUUACAAAACGAAAGAAACUACUGCCAGCUUUGUCAGUAUAACAACCUGUUAGCAAUAGAGGGUGAUUUAUAGGAAUCAGCCAUACGUGUACAGUGCACCAACUCUUUAUUAUUCACAAGUAGAUGAUCUAUUUGCAGAUUUCCUGUAGUUUCAUGACCUGUGUUCUCUCAUAGGCAGAAGGGAAUUCAGUCCUGAUGCACACAAGUUGAAUGUCUGUGUGUAUCAAAGUGGUUCCUAAAGGCCAUUCUCAUUGAUUUCUGGACUUUUAAUAUUUUUGUAAUAUUUUCACCUCUUUAGCCUGCACCUUGUGCAAUCAAGGGCACUUAGGAAAGAGGAUUGCUGCAGGCAACUUGAUGUGUUUCAGAAUAAAUAACUCCACAGAGAUCGUACUUUCUGUGCAAUACGAAACCCAAACUGAUUUUUUUGGUAACAAAAGAAGUCUUAUUGGUUUCCACUUUUAUAAAUCCAAGUGUUCAUAUAUUGACCUUGUUAUUCCUUUGUUUUCGGUGGCAGUUCACCUAUAUUUUACAUUACAAUGUGGUGCUUGAAUAGCCCUUUGUAAGUUGACUUAAAAAAACAAAACAAAACAGGCCUGGCUCAGUGGCUCACACUGAUAAUUCCAGCCCUUUGGGAGACCGAGGUGGGUGGUUGGCUUCAACCCAGGAGUUUGGGACCAGUCUGGGUAACACGGCAAAACCCCAUCUCUAUGAAAAAUACAAUAAAAAAUUAGCCUGGCAUGGUGGUGUGCGCCUGUAGUCCCAGCUGCUUGGGAGGCUGAGGUGGGAGGAUAGCUUGAGCCCCGGAGGCAGAGGUUGCUGUGAGCCAAAAUCACGCCACUGCACUCCAGCCUGGUCUACAGCGAGAGGUCCUGUCUCAAAACAAACAAAAAAACCCAAAACAACUUUAUUGAGAUAUAAUUCACAUAUUAUACAAUUUAUCAUUUAAAGUGUAAAAUUUAAUGGGUUUUAGUAUACUCACUAAAUAUGCAUAGGGCUAUGCAAUCAUCACCACGGUUUAGUUUUAGGAUAUCUUUAUGCCCCCUAACAAAGCCUAGUACCUACCAGCAGUCACUCUCCAUCCUCCUUUUCCUCCAUCAGCCCUAGGCCACCACUAAUCUCCUUUCUGUUUCUGUGACUAUGACUAUUCUGGAUAUUUCACAUAAAUGGAAUCAUAAAAUCGGUGGUCUUUUGUCAUUAGCUUUUUUUUCUCUUAGCAUAAGGUUUCAAAUUCAUCUAUGUUGUAGCAUUUAUCAGCACUUCCUUUUAUUGCAGAAAAUAUUCUAUUGCAUGAAUAUGCUACAUAUUAUUCAUCCAUUCAUCAGUUGAUAGACAACUGGAUUGUUUUUACUUUCCUGGCUAUUAUCAAUAAGCUAGUAUAAACAUUUGUACACAAGUUUUUAUGGGCACAUAUGUUUCCAUAUUCUUUGGGGAAUAUACCUAGGUAGAAUAUACCUCAGCUAGAAUUCCUGAGUCAUAAGGUAAUUCUAACUUUUUGAGGAACUGCCAACCCUGUUUUCCAAUGUAUAAAUUGGCUUUUAAAAUAUUACCUGUACUGGGUUGGGCACAGUGGCUCACAUCUGUAAUUACAGCACUUUGAGAGGCCGAG
rnacentral:lncRNA from 10 species